rnacentral:rRNA from 1 species
UACGGAGGGUGCAAGCGUUAAUCGGAAUUACUGGGCGUAAAGGGCUCGUAGGUGGCCAACUAAGUCAGACGUGAAAUCCCUCGGCUUAACCGGGGAACUGCGUCUGAUACUGGAUGGCUUGAGUUCGGGAGAGGGAUGCGGAAUUCCAGGUGUAGCGGUGAAAUGCGUAGAUAUCUGGAGGAACACCGGUGGCGAAGGCGGCAUCCUGGACCGACACUGACACUGAGGAGCGAAAGCCAGGGGAGCAAACGGG